rnacentral:rRNA from 1 species
UACAGAGGUCCCAAGCGUUGUUCGGAUUCACUGGGCGUAAAGGGUGCGUAGGUGGUGAAGUAAGUCGGAUGUGAAAUCUCGGAGCUCAACUCCGAAACUGCAUUGGAAACUACUUUGCUCGAGGGUUGGAGGGGGGACUGGAAUUCUCGGUGUAGCAGUGAAAUGCGUAGAUAUUCGGAGGAACACCAGUGGCGAAGGCGGCUCACUGGUCCGGUACUGACGCUGAGGUGCGAAAGCGUGGG